rnacentral:rRNA from 1 species
UACGUAGGGUGCGAGCGUUAAUCGGAAUUACUGGGCGUAAAGCGUGCGCAGGCGGUUCGUUGUGUCGGCGGUGAAAGCCCCGGGCUCAACCUGGGAACCGCGCUUGAGACUGGCACGCUAGAGUUCGGGAGAGGAUGGUGGAAUUCCCAGUGUAGAGGUGAAAUUCGUAGAUAUUGGGAAGAACACCGAUGGCGAAGGCAGCCAUCUGGACCGACACUGACGCUGAGGCGCGGAAAGCGUGGGGAGCAAACAGG